rnacentral:rRNA from 1 species
CAGGAACGCUGGCGGCAGGCUUAACACAUGCAAGUCGAACGGACGUAGCAAUACGUUAGUGGCAGACGGGUGAGUAACGCGUGGGAAUAUGCCCUUUAGUUCGGAAUAACUCAGGGAAACUUGAGCUAAUACCGGAUAAUCCCGAGAGGGGAAAGAUUUAUCGCUGAAGGAGUAGCCCGCGUCUGAUUAGCUAGUUGGUGAGGUAAUGGCUCACCAAGGCGACGAUCAGUAGCUGGUCUGAGAGGAUGAUCAGCCACACUGGGACUGAGACACGGCCCAGACUCCUACGGGAGGCAGCAGUGGGGAAUAUUGGACAAUGGGGGCAACCCUGAUCCAGCCAUGCCGCGUGAGUGAUGAAGGCCUUAGGGUUGUAAAACUCUUUUGUCCGGGAAGAUAAUGACUGUACCGGAAGAAUAAGCCCCGGCUAACUUCGUGCCAGCCGCCGCAGUAAGAC